ACAAAAUUUAAAAAUUAAUAAUGUAAUCAUAAUUCCCCAAUAUAUAUUAAAAACACCGUACGGAAGCUAACUAUUAUCACAGCACUUAUUCUUUCUCUUCCACCUCACAUUCUCUCCCUCGAAAACUCAUAUCCCUCAUCUCACUGUCCAAAGACAAAACCGACCACUCACAGCUCUCUAACAACUCCUAUAUGUCUCCACCAUUCUCGAAGGGGAUUUGACAGCAAAUUCUUCAACUUGGUGGCUUUGGCGGGGCAGUUGAAGAUUGGGAUUUUGAGUCUUGCGGGGCCAAAAAAAUGUUGCAGAAGAAAGAUUCAAGACUGGUACCGUGAGAAUUGCUUGGUGUUCUUUUAUUUACUUGAUUUGGAAGGAACACAAUCAAAGAUCUCAACAUGUUUCUAUUUAUUUCCUAAAAGCUCUAGAAAGUGACCGAAUUUAUGUACACGUGUUAUGUGCUGUAGUUGUUAGGUGAGAUGGUGAUGGCUAGGGUUGAACUUGUUAUUUUGGGGUCAUAUUUUUGUUAUUUAUUUUAGGGCUCCAUAGUUAUUAUUUCAAGUAUAAUUGUAUUUUUAUAAAUAAAUAUAUAUUUUUUAUUAA
rnacentral:lncRNA from 1 species